rnacentral:rRNA from 1 species
AUUGAACGCUGGCGGCAGGCCUAACACAUGCAAGUCGAGCGAGCGGCGGACGGGUGAGUAAUGUAUGGGGACUGCCCGAUAGAGGGGGAUAACUACUGGAAACGGUGGAUAAUACAGCAUACUAUCGGAUAACCCAUAUGGGAUUAGCUAGUAGGUGGGGUAAAGGCUCACCUAGGCGACGAUCUCUCGCUGGUCUGAGAGGAUGAGGAGCCACACUGGGACGUGGACAUGGGCUAGAUUCCUAGGGGGGAAGGUGUGGGGAAUUUGGCACAAUGGGCGCGAGUUUGAGGCAGGCAGCCCGCGUUUAUGAAGAAGGCCUCAGGGUUGUAAAGUACUUUCAGCGGGGAGGCGUUACCCGCAGAAGAAGCACCGGCUAACUCCGGGCCAGCAGCCGCGGUAAUUC